GGCUUUUCAUCCAGCGACGGCUCGGCUGCUCCCUCCUCUGAGCUCUCCUCGGCCCCUUCUUCCCCCAGGCCAGAGGUGGCUGAGUCCUCCAGAGCAGACGCGGAGUCAGGUGUGCUGGGCCCACUGACAGAGCCCAAGUCCCCUUCUUCGCUGCUGGAGCCAUAGCGGUCGGGCUGGGCAGCCGUCCCACCUUCCCGGCAGCUCCUCCGCUCCUUGCGGUGCACCCGCGAGUGCAGCACCA
rnacentral:lncRNA from 1 species